AAGUGUAGUAUGCACACACCUGGAUAUAGUUGAUGAUUCUUUUUUCAUUUUAAUGAGUGCACGAAGUUUGAUUAUUUUAUCGAAAUUGAGUAGCUAUGGUGAUGUAAAAUCUAGGACAACAAAGGUGGGACCUGAACUGUGAACUACGUUUAACAGGUUGAGUCCCGUUGAACAGAGCAAACGACAACCAAUAAAGGAGAGAAAAUGAGUCUUUACACAAAAGCGUGUCUUGUGAUUUUGGGAUAUUUCUUUUCCUCCAUAAUCGUUCUAAAUACAUGUAAAAAGCUAGAGGGAUAUAAGUUUCCAGUGUAUUCAACAGAAUUUUGUCCGGGAAAUGAAUCAGAGUGGAACAAGAGAUCGUCAGUCCUCAACUGUAACAAGACCAAUGGCUACACGUGUUUACCGAACGAAAACUUCACGGAGCUGUUAGAAUUCUGUUACACAGCACCUUUUAUAUGGAUUCAAGAAGGCGUGUGUUUAUACCUAAAAAGAAAAGGUUCAUACGUUGAUGCAUACAACUGUAGUCAAUUCAUAGAUGGAUGUCACAACACCUCGUAUCAAAGCAGAAGAAUCUUUGAUUAUCCAGCUUGUAUAACUAUUGGUAAUGGUUGUUUCCUGGCCGAACGAUCUUGUAAAAGUUCUCCAAACACAACUCACCAACCUGAAACAUCAGGACUUGACAUGGAUGACUGGCUCUGGGUCUUGAUUGUGAUCGGCAUCGCUGCGGUUGUUAGUUUUUCAUCAUGCAUACUUUACGUCUACUGUAAAAGAAAAUUUUCCAGUUGCAAUGGAAGCACUGAUAAAGAAAGUACAUUAAAUGAAUUGGAAGACCUUCUAACAGAUGCAGAGAAAGUGCAGAAUGAUUUUUCUACAGAACAAUUAAAUAUUGAAGAGGCCAUGUUCAACCAAUGGAAACAGGACGACCUUUACUUCAUUUCAACCAGGGCGUGUAAAGAAGUGGAAAAAAGCAUUAGAAGCAGGAAUCUGGUCAUUGUGGCUGGUCACUCAGGAUCCGGAAAGUCAGCCAUUAUUCAACAUAUUGCACUCAAAUUCCGAAAAAACGGGUGGGCCAUAAAACGAGUAAAAGAAGUUGAAGAUAUUUUGAAUGAAUAUUCUUCAAGUCGAUUUCAAAGGAACAAAACCAUCUGUGUAUUUAAUGAUCCAUUUGGAAAAGAAUCUUUUGAUGAAAUAUUAAAUAAUUCAUGGCAAAAAUAUGAAGAAGAAUUAAAGUUGUACUUACAAAAUGCAAAACUUAUGAUAUCGUGUAGAAACCACACAAUUUCCGACACGAGAUUGACAUGUAAUUUAGCUAAUCAAUCAUAUAUCGUAGACAUUGAUAAUACCAAAAAUAAAUUAUCCGUUGAUGAAAAGCGGCAGAUAUUGACAAAAUAUACAUUCGAUAUGAAUUUAUCAGACAAAGAAUGUGAUGCAAUUGUUAAAGUAGAAAGGUAUUUUCCGUUAUUGUGUAAAUUAUAUUCUACCAAUGAAGAUUACAAAAUU
rnacentral:misc_RNA from 1 species